rnacentral:rRNA from 1 species
GACGAACGCUGGCGGCGUGCUUAACACAUGCAAGUCGAACGGAAAGGCCCUGCUUUUGUGGGGUGCUCGAGUGGCGAACGGGUGAGUAACACGUGAGUAACCUGCCCUUGACUUUGGGAUAACUUCAGGAAACUGGGGCUAAUACCGGAUAGGAGCUCCUGCUGCAUGGUGGGGGUUGGAAAGUUUCGGCGGUUGGGGAUGGACUCGCGGCUUAUCAGCUUGUUGGUGGGGUAGUGGCUUACCAAGGCUUUGACGGGUAGCCGGCCUGAGAGGGUGAACGGCCACAUUGGGACUGAGAUACGGCCCAGACUCCUACGGGAGGCAGCAGUGGGGAAUAUUGCACAAUGGGCGGGAGCCUGAUGCAGCAACGCCGCGUGCGGGAUGACGGCCUUCGGGUUGUAAACCGCUUUCGCCUGUGACGAAGCGUGAGUGACGGUAAUGGGUAAAGAAGCACCGGCUAACUACGUG